CGGUUAUCCCGUACGUGGCUUAGUUGCUGUCAGCCAAGUUAUAGUACAGAACAUGAGCGAUGAGACAUAUACACUCUCAAAAAUAAGAGCACCAUUCCACGAGCGAGAACUGGCUAUAACUGUCGGUCGUGCCGUAAGUGGGCAAACCUGAGACAAACUAGGAGACGGACUUGGAAACUAGGCUGCAGAAGAGUGCAGGCUCAUAAGUGUCUUAAGUGGAUCUCUGCUAUAGAGACGUUUGGUGUUUUUAUGGGUCAAAAUCAUGGAGGUGAUAUGCUCUCAGCCCGUGUGUAGACCGAAGAAGGUCACCAUUCCUGUGGAGGGGCACCUUCCUCCAGCCUCCUGACGUUCAUCGGAAGAACGCUACAGUGGCAGGCUUGGGCCAAAAAGGUCCGGUCGGGUCCAUCAGGAGGUUCCGUAUCCAGCUUUACACAGCCUGAGGACUCCCACAUGAGGUGUUCCAGAUCCAGUUGCACAAAGAAGUAGUCAGUGGGACCAAGGUCAUUGAGAGGUGCUCUGGUUAAGCAAUCCAAGGGUUAUGUUG
ensembl:lncRNA